rnacentral:rRNA from 1 species
GACGAACGCUGGCGGCGUGCUUAACACAUGCAAGUCGAACGAUGACGCCCGAGCUUGCUCGGUCUGAUUAGUGGCGAACGGGUGAGUAACACGUGAGCAACCUGCCCUUCACUCUGGGAUAACCUCGGGAAAUCGGGGCUAAUACCGGAUAUGAGCUCCUGUCGCAUGGCGGGUGUUGGAAAGUUUUUCGGUGAAGGAUGGGCUCGCGGCCUAUCAGUUUGUUGGUGAGGUAGUGGCUCACCAAGGCGAUGACGGGUAGCCGGCCUGAGAGGGCGACCGGCCACACUGGGACUGAGACACGGCCCAGACUCCUACGGGAGGCAGCAGUGGGGAAUAUUGCACAAUGGGCGAAAGCCUGAUGCAGCGACGCCGCGUGAGGGAUGACGGCCUUCGGGUUGUAAACCUCUUUCAGCAGGGAAGAAGCGAAAGUGACGGUACCUGCAGAAGAAGCGCCGGCUAACUACGUG